AUUGCUUCUCACCCUUUUGGCUAAGAUCAAGUGGAAUAUCAGAUCUUAGCGGUUUAAUAUCUGAGACAUCUGCUGAGGAGUAUUUUAAAUGGAUUUUCAGAGCAGGGAGAUGGAAUGGGAGCUUUUUCUGUCAACACCACCACACAUUGACCUAGUAUUGCAUAUUGCAGCAUCUCUAGGAAUGGUGUACCAGGA
ensembl:snRNA U2 U2 spliceosomal RNA